GAUGAACGCUGGCGGCGUGCCUAAUACAUGCAAGUCGAGCGAACGGACGAGAAGCUUGCUUCUCUGAUGUUAGCGGCGGACGGGUGAGUAACACGUGGAUAACCUACCUAUAAGACUGGGAUAACUUCGGGAAACCGUAGCUAAUACCGGAUAAUAUUUUGAACCGCAUGGUUCAAAAGUGAAAGACGGUCUUGCUGUCACUUAUAGAUGGAUCCGCGCUGCAUUAGCUAGUUGGUAAGGUAACGGCUUACCAAGGCAACGAUGCAUAGCCGACCUGAGAGGGUGAUCGGCCACACUGGAACUGAGACACGGUCCAGACUCCUACGGGAGGCAGCAGUAGGGAAUCUUCCGCAAUGGGCGAAAGCCUGACGGAGCAACGCCGCGUGAGUGAUGAAGGUCUUCGGAUCGUAAAACUCUGUUAUUAGGGAAGAACAUAUGUGUAAGUAACUGUGCACAUCUUGACGGUACCUAAUCAGAAAGCCACGGCUAACUACGUGCCAGCAGCCGCGGCAAUACGUAGGUGGCAAGCGUUAUCCGGAAUUAUUGGGCGUAAAGCGCGCGUAGGCGGUUUUUUAGUCUGAUGUGAAAGCCCACGGCUCAACCGUGGAGGGUCAUUGGAAACUGGAAAACUUGAGUGCAGAAGAGGAAAGUGGAAUUCCAUGUGUAGCGGUGAAAUGCGCAGAGAUAUGGAGGAACACCAGUGGCGAAGGCGACUUUCUGGUCUGUAACUGACGCUGAUGUGCGAAAGCGUGGGGAUCAAACAGGAUUAGAUACCCUGGUAGUCCACGCCGUAAACGAUGAGUGCUAAGUGUUAGGGGGUUUCCGCCCCUUAGUGCUGCAGCUAACGCAUUAAGCACUCCGCCUGGGGAGUACGACCGCAAGGUUGAAACUCAAAGGAAUUGACGGGGACCCGCACAAGCGGUGGAGCAUGUGGUUUAAUUCGAAGCAACGCGAAGAACCUUACCAAAUCUUGACAUCCUUUGACAACUCUAGAGAUAGAGCUUUCCCCUUCGGGGGACAAAGUGACAGGUGGUGCAUGGUUGUCGUCAGCUCGUGUCGUGAGAUGUUGGGUUAAGUCCCGCAACGAGCGCAACCCUUAAGCUUAGUUGCCAUCAUUAAGUUGGGCACUCUAAGUUGACUGCCGGUGACAAACCGGAGGAAGGUGGGGAUGACGUCAAAUCAUCAUGCCCCUUAUGAUUUGGGCUACACACGUGCUACAAUGGACAAUACAAAGGGCAGCGAAACCGUGAGGUCAAGCAAAUCCCAUAAAGUUGUUCUCAGUUCGGAUUGUAGUCUGCAACUCGACUACAUGAAGCUGGAAUCGCUAGUAAUCGUAGAUCAGCAUGCUACGGUGAAUACGUUCCCGGGUCU
rnacentral:rRNA from 1 species